ACAAGGGUAGUCCAGUGAACAUGACAUUUGCCCGAUAAGCGGAACCCUGUGGGUUCGAUUCCCAUCCCUGGAC
rnacentral:tRNA from 1 species